rnacentral:lncRNA from 1 species
AGCCCCGACGGCGGCGGCGGAGCGGGAGCGGCCGCCCCUAUAAUUUAUUCCUCGGACUGGCCCGGCCCGGCCGCCCGCCCGCAGCGCUAUUUAUUGGGGGCGCCGGCCGCAGCAGAAGUAGCCAAAGGUUUGCGAUCUCUAAUUUAUUCCCUCCCCCGCGGGGCCGCCGGAGCCCCCGCUGCGGCCGCCGGGCUCGCCCCGAGGGCACCGCGCCGCGCUCCCGGCCCGUUUCUAUUUAUUUUCUAACCGUGCGCGGAGCUCUGCCCCUCCCGUUGGUAGGUUCGGUUCGUUCCCCACCCCAGUCCCCCCUCCCCCCUUUCCCCUUUGGUUUCGGUUUUUUGUUUGUAUCUUUAUUGCAAAAACCACUGUAGACUGCGAGGGUGCGUUUCUAUUUAUGUUAUAGUAAAUAUUUUAUUACUUACAUAAACCAUUUACCCAGGAACCGGUCUCGUGUCGUCUUUGCGGGCUGCGGGGACGGGACCGGGCUCCCGAGGUGACCCCCGAGGGGUCGCCGUUGUCCUGAGGCUGCCCCUGUUGUCCCCCCCCAGCUCCCCGGGGGCUCCGUCGGGGCGCUUGUGCGAGCGGCCGGCCGCGGCACUGGGAUGCGCGGUGCUGGGGGUGCAGAGCCUUUCGCUGCCCCGACCGCAACUUUUUGCCGUCCAGGAAGCGUGACUUCUCCCCGCUGCUCACCGAAAUAACGAGAUAAUGCCCCGCGGGGUAGCAAAGAAGACUCCCUCUCCUCGCCCCAAGCGCGCUCCAGGGUUUUCCGAUGCCACCGCUUUCCCCCUCCGUGGUUCAGUGCCCCGCUGGUUUGUGGUUACGCCGGGAGAGGCUGAAAAUGUCGCUGCCGUGCUCUUCUGUUUGUGGAAGGAUCAGCUCGCAGCUCUCCUUAACCUCUUCUCUUGCAGCAGACGCCAAGAAAAGUCGCACCUGAACCCGAUCUCCUCUGCUCACUGCAACCUGCUCAGAGCCCGAUGGCAGCCGGCCGUGCAGACUGUCCCCGAGCAGCUAAAGCAGCAGCGGGAGCUCAGGAGCUCAUCUCUACGUGUAAAUGUGGAGCAUCGGCGUUAGCGCCCUGGAAGCUUGUCCCCACCUCGGCCCGUCCCUGCUCGCUGGCUCUCCGGCAAGGAGGGAUUUCAGCACCGCCUGCUUGAGCGUAUAUUUUAAUUCUGUGCUAAUGCCACCGAUGUUUGCAUGCGCUUUAAGUCAAUGCUUUAACUAAUGCUGCCGCUGCUUGGUUGGGGCUGGAUCAGCCCCGGGAGGGCUCGGUCAAUGCUGUUACUUCGCGGGUACCGGCAGUAAAAGGGGUUUGUGCCCACAGGGGAUCUGCAGCUCCCUGCCCGCCUCGUGCUGCUCCUUGCAGCAGGGUGUCAGAGAGAAGCCCAUCCCAGCUGACAAACUGGGUUUGGGUGCAGGAGGGGAGCAUGCCCAGGAGCUGAUCAGCUCUGGGCAGGGCCUGGGGGGCUGUUGUAAGCCCCCAGUGUCCUCUACGUGCCUGCAGGGGACAGUGUCUGGGCUCGCUGACAUUCUUAGCGCUGCUCAGACCUGGCAGGGCAGAGCCUCGUGGAAGGGGCAGCCCCAGCAACCUGCAGGAGCAGGGCACGGGCUCUGCUCAGCACCACGGUGUUUGGGGAAGGCACGGGGCAGCAGCUCCUUAAACCUUUCACACAACCCCACGGCACCGAGCAGCGCUGAUGUGCGGGCGCCCGGCAUCGCUCCCGCUUGUCGUUUGCUGCUGAGCAUAACGGUGCUCACGGCUCUCACCUGGGCACAGAAAUACCAAUAAGGGCAAUCAGCAGAUGUUUGCCUUUGUGAUUCAUGGAAACUCGCCUGCGAAAGUUCCCCCUCGUUUCAAUUAGGACUAAUGAGAGCUGGCUCCUGCGCGCAGCCUAUCACGCCGGGCACGGGGAUUACGAGGCUGCAGAGGCAGCAUUAGGGCGCGCGGUGCUGCGUGCCACAUCUAACGUGCACAUUAGAUCAGCCCUCAUGAAUGUUUCAUGCUCCUCGAUAUCACAUUAUUUUGGGGGUUGGUCAAAGCGAAUGUUAUCGGCUGGAAGCGGCACAGAGCAGGGAUGUGUUAGCGCGCGGCGCCCUGGCUCCUGCACCUGAGAGCACCUGCUACAGAGGGGAGCGCUGUCCCUGCCAAACUUUAAAGGUAUUUUUUUAUCAAUUUUAUUCUAUUUUGGAGCACCCUGCCCCAUGAAGCUGUGUCCCACCCCCAGCACCCUGCUGGAUUUCCUCAUGGGAAUGAGGAAAUGAUUUUGCAGCCCUGACCCCUCUGCUGGGUUAUUGCUCUCCCAGGUCCUUUUGCCUUUUAAUCCCUGCAGUGGUUGCUGUGAAGCCAGGAGGGACAGCAGGCAGCACGCCGAAGAGCAGUAUUUCUUCUGCAGUGCUUCCAAGCUGGCUUUUUUGUCACCAGGUUUAGGAAGGACUGUGGGGAGCUGAAGCUUUGCAGCUCCCUGUCCCAGGGGCCGUAUCCUGCACAGCUGGGUGCCUGGAAAGGGAACAAAAUUGUGCCCACAAAUCCAUGCAGAUGUCAUGAGCACGCACCGGAGCUGUCGGGUGCUCCGUGGAAGUGCCUGCCCCUCGCCAGGGGAUCGCUGCAAGGUGUGAGGAAGGCAAUGGGCAGUUUUUCAUUUCGUUGUGUUAGUCCUAUGGCUUUUCAGUGCCUUGAGCUCAGUGCGUAUUAGUGCCUCCUGCUCACCCUUCGUGCAUUGAGAUGGUGCUGGCUUUAAAUUUGCAGCCAAAAAACUCUAGGAAAUAGAGAAGUUGAGAUUGCCAUGUUUGCAUCUUUUGCAGUCACUUGCAGGCUUGGUUUUGAAGAGUCAGGCCAUUGCAUCAGGUGUCUUUAAUUACAUUUAUAAAGUGGAAAAGUUUGGUCAUUUUUUUAAACCUGAAAAUUGAAACGAUGGCUUUUCAAGUAGAUUGAGAGCAGCACAGGCAGUCAGAGAGCUGCAGUCCUAAGGGCAGUGGCCGGACCUGCAGCGGAGACUUUCCUCUAGGAUCAGGGUAUCAGAGCUCCCAGACUUUGCUUCCAGAUCUCCUGUUGCUCUUCUUUCCUCUUCUGUUCUCCUGAUGUGGGCACAUACGAUCACUUCUCUCCUGAUCGGGUGCACCAGCUCGUGCUGCAGAGCCUGGGAGGAUCCGAUGGGGUGCCGAUGGUCCCUUGGGUGCCACUCGGGGCUCUGCUGUGCCUCAGCCCGGCUGCUGCCAGUCCCUGCAGGCACGGAGGAGAAGCUGGGUGCCUGGCAGGCUGCAUGACCCCGCCAACCUCCACCACAAGCAAACCUCGUGUCUCGUGGCGCAGGCUGCAAACCACGCGGGGUGUUGUGUUGUGGGGUUUUUCCUUUGAAUGUUGUCACUUCAGGGAGCAGAGCUGGAGUCACCCGUGCUCCUCUGUGUGGAGGACACGUGCUGAGCCCGCCGGUGCCUGCAGAGCAGCCUGCACAUCGUCAUCGUUGUCUCCGUGAAGGAUGCUCCUGCAGCAAACGGGGCCAAAAGAAGCAGCGGGCAUCUGCAGCCCUGCAGCCCUCCUGCCCUGCAUGGCCCAAGGUAGGUGUGAGAGCCGUGCUCUUGUUCCUGGGCAUGGAAACACAAAGGGGAUUUGCUCCUGACAGAAGGCUUCUGAGCUCUUUUUUUUUUUUUUUCUUAAAAUGACUGUUUAUUCUCAACAGCAACACUCAAUUUCAUUUUUUAGUGAGAACGUGCAGCUUCCCACCUCCUGAAGGAUCCCACCACUGGCUCUCUCUCCCUCGGUCUUUCAGGCUGCUGGGCACUUGUGGUAGCACAGCACCCUGCCCUCUCCCACCCCCAGGCCAUGAAGAGCCGUGUGGGGUCAGCAGCAGCCUUGUCCCUCCUGCCUGCAGCUCCCUGUCCCUGCUGAAGGCACAGCCAGGGAUAUCUGCAACCUCCAGAAAGUGGCUGUGGUCACCAGAAAGACAAAACAAGAAAUAAUCCCUGAAUGUUUGCCAACCCAUGGGCUCCUCUCCGUGUGUCACAUCUGGGUGCUGCGUUUGGGAUGAGCUGGGGGUGUCGGGGCACAGCGUGGGGCUGAGAUUUGGGGCCACAGCUGGGUGCUGCAGGAACAAAAAGGUCGGAUCUGCUCUGCAGGUAAACGCCCCCCAUCCUGGCACCCUCCACCACGCUGUGCCCCCAGGUGGGGGUUUGCAGCCCCCAGCUGCUGCUGGGGAUGGGCACAGCUCAGCGGCACCGAGGGGAGCGUGCGGGAUCGAUCCCCGGAGCGUUUGAUAUUCUGCUUAGUGGAACACUUGUUAUGUCUUUAAUUACUAUUUCUAAAAGCACCACAGGAUGGAAAGCAAAAGCCAGAAAUAAAUAGCGAGGGGUGAUCAAUUGGGCAUGAAACCCUUGUUAUUGAUCACCUUUAACCUCUGCUUAAACUAAUGACAGAGCUACCAUUUAACUGUCCCCAGGCACAAAGCACAUCAAUUGCACGAGUGCCACAUAAAUCACGGUGGGUUGCUGUGCUCUGGGGAGGGCGAGGGGCCCCUCUGGGCUGCAGGGCCCCGGCCAGUGCUGCUGCAGCACCCUCGCUCGGCUCCCCUCUGGAUGCUGCUGCUCCCCCAAAAUGGGCUCCCACUAGCCGAGCCCCAGCUCCCUGGAUGGGGCUGCA